rnacentral:rRNA from 1 species
CUACGGGGCGCAGCAGUGAGGAAUUUUGCGCAAUGGGGGGAACCCUGACGCAGCAACGCCGCGUGAGUGAUGAAGGCUUUCGGGUCGUAAAGCUCUGUCAAGUGGGAAGAACCUAUGCAGUGUUAAUAUCACUGUAUACUGACGGUACCACUGAAGGAAGCACCGGCUAACUCCGUGCCAGCAGCCGCGGUAAUACGGGGGGUGCAAGCGUUAUUCGGAAUCAUUGGGCGUAAAGGGCACGUAGGCGGCUUGGUAAGUCAGAUGUGAAAGCCCGGGGCUUAACCCCGGAAGUGCAUUUGAUACUGUCAGGCUUGAGUAUGGGAGAGGGAAGUGGAAUUCCUGGUGUAGAGGUGAAAUUCGUAGAUAUCAGGAGGAACACCGGUGGCGAAGGCGACUUCCUGGACCAAUACUGACGCUGAGGUGCGAAGGCGUGGGUAGCAAACAGGAUUAGAUACCCGAUAGUC